GGAAAUUCAUCAAAUUUUCUGGUUUUGAGGGUCCAAAAUCUGAAGCAACUUAUCUGGGCAGAUCUCUCUCCUAAGGUUGCGAUCAAGAUGGGGCUGCAGACUCUGAGGAUUUGACUGGGGCUGAAGAACCCACUUCUGAGCUCAUCCAGGAGGCUGUUUGCAGGAAGCUAUAGUUUCUUACCAUGUGGGCCUCUCCAUGGGACUGUUCUCAGCAUGGCUUUCCCCAUAGCUGAUACUGAUACUGGGAGAAAGAGGAAGAGAUAGAGAGAAAGAGACGAAAAAGGGAGAGAGAGAGAGAGAAUGCAAUGCUGCUCUGCCCUUAGAGAGAGAGCGAGAGAGAGAGAAAAAGAGAGAAAAAGAGAGAGAGAAUGCAAUGCUGCCCUGCCCUUUAUGGCCUAGUCACCAAUUACACAUCAUCCCACCUGCCUUAUCCUUUGCUUAGUAAGUCACAAAGCUCAGUCCAUGCUCUAUGGAAGAAGCUAAUAUGGCGGUGGAAAUACCAGAAGAUGGGCCUCAAUGCUGGCCAUCUUGGAGGCUGGCAACCACAAGAUAUUUAGACCAUUUACAUUUAAUAUAAUUAUUGAUAUGUUUAUGUUCAAAUCUAUUAUCUUAUUUUUUUAUUUCUACCACCUGUUCUUUGUUUCAUUUUCCC
rnacentral:lncRNA from 1 species